AACCCUCAGCGCUUAGUAACCCCUAACUCAUUUCUCACACGUCAGAUCACCUGCUGCUGCCUUAACCUUUGCAGUCCCUGCAUUUUGCCCUCACAGCGUUUCAUACAGUUGCAGCGGAUCACCUUUCAGGGUGAUGAGCUGAUUAAUAUGUUUUCUCACUUGGCCGUAAGCAUCACAGCAUCCCGUGAGCAGGAACCAUGCCUGGUUUUUGGUUCAACAUUAUAUCCCCAGCACUUAGCCCAGGGCCGGCACAUAGUAGGCUCUCGACAAAUAUUUCAUGAGUGAAAGGCUAGAAGUUCAAAAGACGGGUGGACUGGGAGGUCAGAGCAUCUCGAGGAAGACUCACAUUCUCCCCCACCGUGUUGCCCGGAUGGUACUUCCACGAUUUAUCCUGCUCGGAGCCAUUCUCCUUUUCUGGCUUGCCUUAGCCAGAGUCAGUUUCUGCUGUUUGCAACCAAACCACCUUUCCAUUAUGUAAACUCUCUGGGCCUCAGUUUCCUUAUCUGUAAAAAGGGGAUAAUAACAGCGCCUUCCAUUUAUUCAUUUUAAUAAGGAUUACAUCCGUGAUUUCAUUCAACGUUCACCAUGAUGAGGAUGAGGAGGAAGAGGAAGAUGGUAUCAUGUGUAUUUCCUAUUGCUGCUGUAACAAAUUCCCACAAACUUUGUGGCUGGAAAUAACUAAAUUUCUUUUCCUUACAGCUCUGGAGAUCAAAAGUCCAAAGCGGAUCAGCAGGGCUUGUUCCUUCCGGAGGCUCCAGAGGAGAAUCUGUUUCCUGGCCUUUUCUAGCUUCUAAAGGCUGCCGGCAGUCCUUGGUUCAGGGCCCCACAUCACUCCAACCUCUGUUCUGGUUUCGCCUCUCCUCUGAUUCUCCCUCUAAGGACCCUUGUGACUGCAUUGGGCCCAUCCAGAUAACCCAUGAUCUUCUCCCCAUCUCAAGAUCCUUCGCUCCAUCUGCAAACUCACCUGCAAAGUCCCUUUUGCCAUGGAAGGUAAUAGAGUCACAGGGUCCGGGGAUGAGGAUGUAGAUAUCUUUGGAGGGCUCUUACUCAGCCUACCACCCCAUGUGUCCCAAGUUUUGGUUUAAAGCUUCCAGGAAAAAUAAGCUAUCUUUCCUGCCUUCAAAUUGCUUAUAAUCCUGUUGGGGAGACAAAACAUUUCCACAGUCCACAAAGACCCAGGCAGUGUGGUCCCUGCUGUGGUGGGAGGUGGAGGUGAUGUGUUGAGAAGAUGAAGAUGAAGCAGGGAGCCUUCCCCCCAGGCCUCUCCUGUCCCCAGAGCCGCAGCCUACAGCCUUGUAGGCCACGCCCACCCAAAUCCAGGGGGGCCACCUUCCCAGGCGCUAGGAUGUGAAUGCUGUCCCCUGGAGGUGUGUGACACAGUGUCCCUGCCUUCUCCUCGUAGGAAGUGGGAGGCUCUGGGAAAGGCAAGAUGGAACCUCUUCACUAGAUCAGCAGAAGCCUUUGCUUUCUAGUUUUAUUGAGUGCUCUGGUCUGAAUGUUUGUGUUCCCCCCAAAUUCACAUGUUGAAAUCUUAACCCCUAAAGGUGAUGGUAGGAGGUGGUGGGGCGUUUGGGAGGUGCUUACGUUGUGAGGGUAAACCCUUGUGAAUGGGAUUAGUGCCCUUAUAAAAGAGAUCCCAGAGAGACCCCUUCUCCUUCUGCCGUGUGAGGACACAACAAGAAGUCUGCGACCCUCAUCUGAACACGCUGGCACCCUGACCUCAGACUUCCAGCCUCCAGAACCGUGAGCAACAAAUUUCUGUUAUUUACAAACUACCCAGUUUGUGGUAUUUGGUUAUAGCAGGCUGAACGGACUAGACAUUGAUGCUUGGUAAGUUUCAUUUGGACUCUGGGGAGGAGGUUCUCAGUGUUAAGUGGGGCUAAGCAUCUGGAAGGUUAAUUGAUGAUAAAGAGGGGUGAGGGUCAGGGUAAAGGCAUGUUCCCCUCCUCCAACUUCCCAGAGCCCAGAAGAAAUUGUAUCAUAUCAGUUAGAAACGGGGCGGGAUGGUCCAAAGAACAAGAAAUCAGCUACUACAUCAUAUGCCAUGUGACACCCCACGUGAGUUCUGCAAAAGCAUGAACCUGGCAGAUCUGUCAUUGAGACAGUAGAACACCACUGUCAAGACCGAUAAAGACAGGCUGUGAGCGAUUUAACUGAAGUAGCCGGAAGGGAGACCAGCACUACAUGUCCAAAUAGGCUUGGCCCAGCCCCCCAGCCCUCAGGUAACUGACUCUGGGUCUGGCACGUGGCUGGAAUGAAUUGGGUCAUUCACUGGUGAAUCCUGGGUUUUUCAACUGGUAUCUGUUCUGGGACCUGGUCCGUGCAACUCUGCUUUUCUAGAGUAAAAAUUGUGAUGUGUGUCUCAGUAAGGAUUACCUGAUGUGUGUGAGCUAUGUGACAAAUAGAAAAGUCUCAAAAUUUACUUCUACAUUGAAUUUUUUUUACAAAAAAACUUUAUUUAGAUAUAAUUCACAUACCAUAAAUUCCCACAUUUAAAGUGAACAAGUGAAGAAUUCUUUUGUAUAUUCAGAAUUGAGCAACCAUCACUGCACUCAAUUUUAGAACAUUUUCAUCAUCGCCAAAAGACACCCUAUACUCACUCCCCAUUUCCUCCCAAUAUCUACUCCCCAGCCACUGGUAGCCACUAAUCUUACUUUCUAUCUCUAUGGAUUUGCUUGUUCUGGACGUUUCAUAUAAAUAGAAUCUAAUGAUAUGCAGUCCUUUGUCACUGGCUUCUUUCACUGAGCAUGAUGUUUUCAUGGCCCAUCCAUGCUAUAGUAUGCAUCAUAGUUCAUUCCUUUUUACAGCUGACUAAUAUUCCAUUGUACGGAUAGACCACAUCUUCUUUACCCGUUCAUCAAAGGAUGGACAUUUGGGUUACUGAUACUUUUGGCUAUGAACAGAGAGUAAUGUGAGUAUAGACAGUACUGCUGCUAUGAACAUUCGUGUACAGGUUUUUGUGUGGACAUGUUUCACUUCUUUUGGGUACAUGCCUAGGAGUGGAAUUGCUGGGUCAUAUAGUAACUCUUUUGAGGAACGGCCAGUUUGUCUUCCGAAGCAGCUGCACCAUUUGACAUUCCCACCAGCAAUGUACGAGGGUUCCCAUUUCUCCAGAUCCUCCCCAAGGCUUGUCAUUUUCCAUUGCUGUUGCUGUUGUUACUAGUUAGGCUGUUUUGAUGGCCAUCCUGGUGGAACUGGAGUGGUUUUGAUUUGCAGUUCUCUGAUGGCUAAUGAUGGUGAGCAUCUUUUCACGUGCUUAUUGGCCAUUCGCAUGUCUUCCUUGGAGAAGUGGCUAUUCAGAUCCUUUGCCCAUUUUAUAAUUGGGUACAUUUAAUUUUGAAUGGUCUCCUUAACAAUUACACAUUGGAACCACUAUAGAAUUGAUUCACGGUGGGCGCUCUGAAGUCAAUGGCCUGGAUUUGAAUCCCAGCUUGGCCACUUGACAGUAGAUAACUUGAACAUUCUCUCCGGACCUCAGUUUUUUCCACCUACACAAUGGGGGACAGAAAUAUUAGCUGCUUCAUAGGGUUGUUGUGAGGAUUAAAAAAGGCAGUGUGUGUCAAAGGCUUGGUAAAGCUUAAUCAGGGCUCAGAAAAUAUUACCCAUAAUAGCAGCGUCGUCAAUACUUAGUAAGCUCUUUCUAUUUUACUAUAUGCACAUAGGCGUUCUCAUUUAAUCUACCUGGCAAUCUUGCAAAAUAGGUAUCACCAACUGCAUUUUGCAAGUGAGAAAACAAAGCUCAGGGAGGUGAAGGGGGGCGUCCAGGGCUCCAUAGCUGGGAAGAGGCAGAGCAGAGGUUCCUGCCCAGCUCUGGACCACUCCAGGGCCCUCUGCAAAUGUUACUCUUGGCAAAGUUUUUAGCUUGAAUCGGCAUCUCCUCUUGCAGCUUCUGCUAUUCAAAUGCAACCGUCAUUAAGCAAAUGCUGUCAGAAAGGAAUCAGAGAAGAACCCAGUAACGAAAUCAUCAACAGCUUAUUCAGGCAGAGAAAAGCUAGAGCAACCCCAAGAAGCAUGUGUUUCUCUCGUUUGGGGCUGGCUUUUGAGUCAGAGGAUCUUUUCACAUAGUCCUGGCCUGCUCUCCCUGUUUAGUAUGGCCUCUCUAAGAACCUCACGGGGCUAGCUGGGAAACAGUGAAAGGCAAGCAUCCAUCAUCGCUCCCUCUUCUGGAACCACUACUUGGGAGUUCUGUGUAGUUCCCCAUAGCGACAUUGGGUGUCACCGUUGAGUUGUCUGAAGCCAAUCUCCCCUGGAAAUUGACAAAACGUGUCGUUUUCCAAGAGUUUCUGGUUCUCUGAGAUCCAGUUUGGAGGUAUUCAGCUCCCAACUCAGCCUGGAUAAUCUGGUUCUCAUUUGCGGGGCCAGCGUGGUCCUGCAAGAAGAGGGCUCCUUGCAGCUGAUUCAGUUUGGGGUUUGAAAAUGGGCUCCAUGGCCGUGACUCGGGAACUGACUUCUCUUCAAAAGUGGGUGAGGACAUAAGGAUGAGAGAGUUUAUGCAAAGCCGCUACAACUUACGGCUCUUCUCUCCCAGAUUCUCUGCGCUGUCCCUUCUCAGAGCAGCCUGACUUCUGGCCCAGCGAACAUGCACUGUGCAUCCGCUUCAAACAUUUUCCCGAAGCAAAGAAUGCCCUCUUUAAAGAGAGGGAUGGGUGUCUCCUUUUCUCUGACGCCAAUACCAUCACUUCUUUGAAGAUGAGUUUUCUUCUCAGAGAACCAAGGUCAAGUUGACCUGCUGUGUAUGUGCUAAACUUCGGCAAAACAUCUCCUUGUGACUUGGGGAAAAUAAUUGCAUUCCUGUCAUGCCUGACAUAUCUUCUUCGUUCUGAAAUGGUAUAUAACCAUGCUGUCAACCACACUUCUCUGGGGUGCUUUCUGCCCUGGUGGCGAUGGCACUUCCGGGCUUGUCCUCAACAUUAGCUCAUUAAAUAUCUUUCUUAUCUA